rnacentral:rRNA from 1 species
CGUAGGGUGCAAGCGUUAAUCGGAAUUACUGGGCGUAAAGCGUGCGCAGGCGGUUGACUAAGUCAGCGGUGAAAUACCUGGGCUCAACCUGGGAAUGGCCGUUGAGACUGGUCGGCUAGAGUGUGUCAGAGGGGGGUAGAAUUCCACGUGUAGCAGUGAAAUGCGUAGAGAUGUGGAGGAAUACCGAUGGCGAAGGCAGCCCCCUGGGAUAACACUGACGCUCAUGCACGAAAGCGUGGGGAGCAAACAGGAUUAGAUACCCUGGUAGUCCACGCCCUAAACGAUGUCAACUAGUUGUCGGAGCUACUAUGGCUUUGGUAACGCAGCUAACGCGCGAAGUUGACCGCCUGGGGAGUACGGUCGCAAGAUUA